GAACUCAAUUAUUAAUAUGCAUUUAUCAUGCAUAAUUUAUUAUCAUUUAUGACACUAGCUUUGAUAUUUAAUUACAUAUAGGAGAUGGAAUAAGGGUGAAUAUUAUGAAGGGAUUGUUUUUGGGAUUUCAACAUAAUCACCCACAAAGACAUUUAUUAUAAACGCACAAACAGCAUGGACAUUUGACGUUUUUGCAUUGACAAGGAGGGCAGUCAUAAACCGUUUGGCAUGGAGGAUCCAUAAAAUGCAUUAGUUGAUCCUUAGCUUCAAUCCUCAAACCUGAUAAUACACUCCAAUUUCUAUUUAUCUGGUAUAUAUAUACAAAUAAAAUGUAUAUACGCACAAUAUAUGAGUUCUAUAAACUGACACUUAUCAUCCAUAAUUCAUAUGUAUUAUUUUUUGAAGAUUGAGUCAAUAAUAAUUAAAUAUUAAUAGUGGAUGAUACAAUGAGUGUAUAAAUCUAUGAUAAUCUAAAUUAAUCUUAAUGCAUAAAUAUAUAUUAUCUCUCCAUAUUGUUAAGGAUCACAAGGUGCCCAACAAGAUUUGGAAAUAAAGUAUCCCACGGACAGCUAUAUGGGAAAACAGGUUAUAAGUUGUGUUGAAAAAAUAUGUAACACGUGAUUGCAUUCAUUACUAUACUAAAUAUUAAAGGUUGAGAAGGACAUUUGUUGAGAUAUGAUAAUCAAACACUUCCAAAAAGGAUUAAAUUCAUUACAUAUAAGGUGGAAAUAUUAUUGGUUAAACAAAAAAACACACGAAUCCAUUUAUCAAAAGAGAAACAUUUUUUAGUGAAAAACUUAUGUCUGCCUUUAUGUUAUGUCAUCUAUUUAUGUUUGGACCAAUCAAAAUAUGUCAUUUAAUUAAAAAUAUUAUAGAAACAAGAAUUAAAAAUUUUAUAUUAUUUGGUAUCAUUCUAUUCGAUAAAAACAAUUUUUUUGAGACAAAAGUAUCAUUGUUCAUCAUUUCUAGUAUUGACCAAAACUAUAGGACUCAAAUAAAGAACCACAUGAAUGUUGUACUUCAAAAAGAAAAUAUAAGGAGAACAACAAUAAAACUCAUCUUCACCCAUGUUGAUAUUGUGUUGGUUAUAGUGAUAAUGCCUUUUUUGUGUGUGAAAGUGACAAUGCCUUUUAGUACACCCCUAAUGUAUUUUAUAGAUGGGAUAUAGAAAUCAUACACCUCCAAAAAGGAUUAAAUUCCUUACAGGUGUCAUAUGAUUGGUUUUACCAAAAAAACAUACGAUUACAUUCAUAAAAAACAAUCACUUCUCAUAUUCACGAAAACUAUAUAACUCAAUAAAUUAAGAAAAUGGUGAACACGUACAAUAAAUAAAGAGCUAAAUGAACGUGUUACUUCAAAUGGAAAAUUACCAGAAGAAAAUGCGAGGAGAACAACAACAAAGCACAUCAUCUUGACCAGCCACAUGAUGAAAU
rnacentral:lncRNA from 1 species